UUGUUUUACAACUAACAUUGUUUUCUUUAAUUUAUGUAGGUUAUUGUUUUAAACAAUAAUUUAGUGCUCUAUAUAUACUUAAAUUUAUAACCUAAUAAAAGUAUUUUGAUCACUAUCACUAUUUCUAUUUUUGAUUGGAUGAGAUUGUAAUUAUAGAAAACAUUGUCUUGUUGUAUAAAUUAUAGGCAACACUUGAGGACUAGAACAUAAUUUACUAUUUUUAUGGGCCAAUAAAA
rnacentral:misc_RNA from 1 species